UCCUAUAGACCAGCAACCAUAAAAAUGUCUAAGUGUGGAAGAACUCAUGUCUGUCUACAAUGUGGGGAGAAAGACAUAAUUGCUACAACCUAGAGCAUGCAGGUUUUCUAAGUAUGAUUAAAGUAAAAAGUGGGAGUAGGCAGUGAGAAGGAGGUUUAAUCUUGCAAGGAUGCUGAGACAUCUAAGUUAAGGGGAGAUCAGUAAAGAUUGUGCUGAGGAAGAAGCCACAGUGAGAAGGAUGUCACAUUCUAUGGCCUCUGAACCCUCUUACUGGCAUGAGGUGCUCCAAUCAGUGCUCAUUUCCAAGUGACAGCUGACUAAAGGCAUGAUGGAAUGGUAAAAGUUUGCACUGUCCUCUCAGCUGAGCCUCCUGAAUGGAAAAGUUGCUCUCUGAGAUGUAGCCUGUCUCUACCUCUAAGUAGUCUCCAAAUUAGCCACCAAAUGUUAUAACAGUAAAUCUAAUCAUUAAGAAAAAUUUGAGUACAACAUGUACAUACUAAUCCAUAAAUUAUAUAUCAAUGCAUACAUUUGAAACCAACAAAAGAAAACUAAAAAAAAAGAAUUGUAAAUACUUCUUACAUUGUGUAGAGAGCAGUUCUGAACCCUGGAAUACACCUUUGCUUGCUACCUGCAUUCACAUCCAGGCUGGAUACUGGCUCCCAUUGGCACUGCCUCCCAGCAUAGCCUCAACAUGCUCUUCCUCCAAAGAAAGCAGAUUCCCUGGUGAAGGCUGAGGCAAAGCAGACUUACAUCUUUGAGACAGAAAGAGCCAGGGAGCUUGAGAGUGCUGUAGAAUAGAUGGCCCAGCCUCCAUUAGCAUACUGCUAAUGCAGUUGAAUGUGUUUUUAUCUGUUCCAGUAUGGAGGGGCCACCUGAGCAAUGCUUCUCAUUAGCUGCUGAGUGCACCAGUCUUGGCCCCAUCGGCACUCUCUAUUUCCAAUGUGGAGUAUAGAGGGCUAGCAAACUACUGUCUGUGUACUUACUACACACAGUUUUCUUUUUCCUGUUCUUAGUUCCUCAGCAAUAGUAAAGCAACUGUUCACAGAGUACUUACACUAUGCUAGGCAUUAUAGUUCAGAGGUGAUUUCAAAGUGUAUGAAGAGAUAUAGUUGGUUAUAAGCGACAGGGACUUGAGUACUUGUGGGGCCUGGCAUUAGUGUGUAGCACUGGCACCAAAAACUUCAGGGAUUUUCCGUUGGUCCAUAUAUGAGAUUUUCAUUCUCUUAUAUGGACCAUAGGAAUCUGCAACACCACCAUUAGCAUUUGAUUUACCUAGUUUUGAUGCUGAAGAUCACUUUUUUCCAGUUAACAUGUUAAAAGUACUUAUCUAUAACACACAUCUAUUAUACAAAAAUAAAAGGGAGAUUCUUAUGCAUUGAAUAAGUGUGUCAGUUUCUUGCUGUUGGUCAGACACUAGCUACAUUUUAAUUAACACUACUUCUCAUUUAUUUUAAGUAACUAAAUUCAACAAACGAACAUGCUGUUUUUAAUGCAAUAAAGACCACAGUUAAAUAGGAACUUAUAUUUCCUCUAUAUAAUCACAAAGAACAGUCAGCAAUGUAGUCCUCUACCCCAAACCCAUGCAGCUCAUCCAAAAGCAGGAUAGCCUUUACCCCUUUCUUGUUCUAGUCAGACAUUUAACUUCCUGGACAUGAAUUCAGCAUUCAACAAUUUUCUUUUGGUAGCAGGAGCGACAGAGAGGACAGACAUGGAAAGGGGCAUUGUCUCCUAAAGAAAACUCCUCCAAAGCCAGGAGGCAGGCAUUGUGGAACAGAUGUGCACAGGACAGGAGGACUGUCUCUCUGGGACGCUGGCUGCUGGUUCCUAUGGCUGCUUGCCGGCCAUCGCCAUGAAAGGAGAGUGGAGUCAGGCAGAUGGAACAUUCAUAGAUCUCAUGGUGAGCAGCCUGCAGCACAAAGCAGACACAGCUUUGUUACAGGAGUCCCGUCGUCCCCCCCCCGUCACAUUCCACAAUUACUCAGACCUACAGUGAGAACUAUAGCCCAAGACAUGAAUCCAUGGAAAAUCUUAAAUGUCAAUAUGUGAGAUAUAGAUUAUAAUACCCAAUUAAACAAAAAUACUUUAAAACUGCUGAACACUAAUAAUAUAACAUAUAUAGUGCCUUUUAAUUAAAAAUGGAAAAUUGGGCUAAGCAUGGUGGCACACGUCUUUAAUCCCAACAUUCAGGAGGAUAGAGGCAGGUGGAUCUCGAGUUCAAGGCUGGUCUACAGAAUGAGUUCCAGAACAUCCAGGGCUACAGAAAAACCAACAAAACAAAAGUAAAAGUCAGAAAUUGCUAAGUCCUUGGCUGUUACUGUUAAAGUUUUAAAACCUUCCCAAUUUUAUGUUUUAAGCUGUUUUUUAGCCCCCUAUUUAAUAUUUAAGUUUUCCUUCUAUCUUGGCUUCGAGUUGCUGCAGAGUCCUGCUUUCCUUCCUAGGCUCCUGCAGGUACAGGAGGAAGGCAGGAAGCAUUAGGAUUGGCCUUUUGGGUUUUCAUUGUUCAUAACAGCCACCAUCGAACUAGAGCUUUAACAUUUCCGCGUACAGGACUGAGCUAAUAGCAAAGGCCUGGGUGUCCCCAUCCAAGCAAAACUCACCAAGGCUCCCAGACCUGCACUGCAGUCCAUUCUGCAGAGGGCAGUAGGAAGCUGCUCUGAAGCCUACCUGUGCUUGGAUUUUCUCCCAGUCCUCCUUGGUGAUUAUCUGGCCACACCUUUCAUCUAGCUGCUGAAGAAUGCUACGGUUUACCGCCAAGCAGACAUCAAUUUCUGAGAAGAGUUCAUCUAUGUUGGUGUUGUAUGAGCACAGGAUUCGGUGGCUGAUCUCUGUGAACUGAGAGCAGAGCCAUAGGCUGGAGCGUCUGAAUGAGGGCAGUCCUUCCUGAAGCAGGGACUUGAUGUCCCUUCUCCAGCAGCUGUGAUGUGACCAUACGCUAGACACUACAGCUGGAGUGGGCUUCCUGAGGGGAAGCUACAGCAGGGCAGGCCACGAUGUCUGUCUGUCUUACCAUCCUCAGCUAGCUCCUUUUGUCACCGUUUUGGGGACUUUCCACUCUCAUCAGUGAGAGCCCAGUUCACUGCUGCUCAGCGGUUGGCUCAGGUCUUUCCUUCUGUUAGAAGUUGCCAUGUCACAGGAGACUUUAUUAAAUAAGUGGUUAUACUUU
rnacentral:lncRNA from 1 species